GGCAGGUCUGUUCUUGGUUAGACUAUUCUUUAGAAGUUUACUUCUGCCCUUUGUCUACUUUGUUUGCCUGCCAGCAAUGAUGUCUAAUGUCUCUACUUGGCAGCCCCCAUGGGUGAGGUCAUUUUUUAACAGCUAGCCUCUUUCCUUCAGCAUUGGAACUAGCUGGCUGUGACUCAAGGUUUAGGACUACGUCAGCUUGUGAGGACUUCUGCCUCGAAGAACAGGGCCUUCCCUUGGAGCUGGCAUGGCACUGGGCCAUUGUAAGUUGUCCUGACUUAUGUCUCACCACGGAACUCAGAUGACUCUGGAGAAGAGAGUGAGAAUGAUGACUCUGCACAAUUCUGCUUCAUUUAAACCCAGUUCACUCACAAGUCAAGGCAUCACCUUCCUGAUGUCAUUGGUUCUUUUUAAUAAUGAAGGAUGAACAACAACAAUAAUUGCAGUGUGGAGAGUGGAGGGAAAUUUUAGAAAUAAGUUUGAUACAUUCACUUGAACUUUAUUUAAAACCAUUUAUCUAAAUUUAUCUAAAACCAAUCUAGCAAACCACAAGCUAUCCUCUGCCUCCUGAUAUUCAUCCCAAGAAAGAGGAAGUUAUUAACUGUGUUUACAAGAUAUCAAAAUAAUACAACUGGGUAGGAAAAGAAAACUAAUACAAAUAAAAACUUUUUUUUUUGUUUCUGUAGAUAAAAGGACCAGUUAAUCAUUUUGAAACAUAAUAUGAAACUUAAUAAUAUUUCACCUUUCAAACAGUAAUUUUUAACAAGAUAAAGGAAUAGACUUUCUUUCAUAGCCAAAUAAAGCAGUAGCUAAAGACCAGAAUUGGCUUCAAAUCCAAAAUAACAUUCAUCUGUCCUUUACAGAAAAAUCUCUGAUUCUUUUCUCCUAUAAUUUCCUCUGCUUUAUUUUUUUUUAAGUUUAUAGGUAGUAGCAUUCAGUGGUACAGCUUGUCACUCUUCAUUUAUAUGAAUGAUGCUAUAAAAUUUUUAUUCAUGAAUUUA